rnacentral:rRNA from 1 species
UACAGAGGGUGCGAGCGUUGUCCGGAAUCACUGGGCGUAAAGGGCGCGUAGGCGGCGCGGUAAGCGUGCGGUGAAAGCCCGGGGCUCAACCCCGGGUCGGCCGUGCGGACUGCCGGGCUGGAGCACUGUAGAGGCAGGUGGAAUUCCGGGUGUAGCGGUGGAAUGCGUAGAGAUCCGGAAGAACACCGGUGGCGAAGGCGGCCUGCUGGGCAGUAGCUGACGCUGAAGCGGCGACAGCGUGGGGAGCAAACAGG